rnacentral:rRNA from 1 species
CCCUUAGAUGUUCUGGGCCGCACGCGCGCUACACUGAAGGGAUCAGCGUGUUUUCCCUUUCCGAGAGGAACGGGCAACCCGCUGAACCCCCUUCGUGGUAGGGAUCGGAGCUUGCAAUUGUUCUCCGUGAACCAGGAAUUCCCAGUAAGCGCAAGUCAUAAGCUUGCGUUGAUUACGUCCCUGCCCUUUGUACACACCGCCCGUCGCUACUACCGAUUGAACGUUUUAGUGAGGUAUUUGGACUGGGCCUUGGGAGGUUUCGGCCUCCCUUGUUGCUCGGAAAGACUCCCAAACUUGAGCGUUUAGAGGAAGUAAAAGUCGUAACA